AUGCUCACUGCUUUUAUGGAGGUGACAGGCCUGACCUGCCAGGCACUCCGUCUGUGGUCCUUUCUUACAGCAGCCCUGAGAAACGCAUGUCUUCUCCUUUCCAGUGCUUCCAUGCCUUGUCCUGAGAUUCGCUCCGUCUGGUUUGACCUGGACUGUGUCUACUUCUGUGGCCACGGGGGUGGAUGGGGGCAGCUCUGGCUCACAGGCCCACUCACAGAGCUGGACGGAACCCGUGCUAGACUACGCGCAUGUGCCAAGAGUGGGCAAAAGGUAGUUCUUCUCGGAAAGAUCAAAGUGCUACCACCACAGCGAGGGGGGCAGGCAAAAAUAAAAGAUGUCUGCUACAGAGGAGCUCAUCAGAGAAGAGGAAAAAAUGAGAUCAUUUUAGCUCAGGUUAUUUGCUU
ensembl:lncRNA